rnacentral:rRNA from 1 species
GUUUAACGGCCGCGGUAUUUUGACCGUGCGAAGGUAGCGUAAUCACUUGUCUUUUAAAUAGAGACCUGUAUGAAUGGCAUAACGAGGGCUAGACUGUCUCCUUUUCCUAGUCAAUGAAAUUGAUCUCUCCGUGCAGAAGCGGACAUAACCACAUAAGACGAGAAGACCCUAUGGAGCUUAAGACAAAGCAGACCACGUUAAUCACCCUUAACUACAGGAUAACCAAGAGGUCCUGUCCCUCUGUCUUUGGUUGGGGCGACCGCGGAGUAACAAGAAACCCCCGAGUGGAAGGAAUUCCUCAAACCAGAGCCACAGCUCUAAUUAGCAGAACAUCUGACCAUCAGAUCCGGCAAUGCCGAUCAACGGACCCAGUUACCCUAGGGAUAACAGCGCAAUCCCCUUCUAGAGCCCAUAUCGACAAGGGGGUUUACGACCUCGAUGUUGGAUCAGGACUUCCUAAUGGUGCAGCCGCUAUUAAGGG